rnacentral:rRNA from 1 species
GACGAACGCUGGCGGCGUGCUUAACACAUGCAAGUCGAACGCUGAAGCUUGGUGCUUGCACUGGGUGGAUGAGUGGCGAACGGGUGAGUAAUACGUGAGUAACCUGCCCUUGACUCUGGGAUAAGCCUGGGAAACUGGGUCUAAUACUGGAUAUGACAUGCCACUGCAUGGUGGUGUGUGGAAAGGGUUUUACUGGUUUUGGAUGGGCUCACGGCCUAUCAGCUUGUUGGUGGGGUAAUGGCCUACCAAGGCGACGACGGGUAGCCGGCCUGAGAGGGUGACCGGCCACACUGGGACUGAGACACGGCCCAGACUCCUACGGGAGGCAGCAGUGGGGAAUAUUGCACAAUGGGCGGAAGCCUGAUGCAGCGACGCCGCGUGAGGGAUGACGGCCUUCGGGUUGUAAACCUCUUUCAGCACGGAAGAAGCGAGAGUGACGGUACGUGCAGAAGAAGCGCCGGCUAACUACGUG